GAGUGAUCGAAAGAUGAAAAGCACUUUGAAAAGAGAGUUAAACAGCACGUGAAAUUGUUGAAAGGGAAGCGUUUGCGACCAGACUCGCCCGCGGGGUUCAGCCGGCACUCGUGCCGGUGUACWUCCCCGUGGGCGGGCCAGCGUCGGUUUGGGCGGCCGGUCAAAGGCCCUCGGAAUGUAUCACCUCUCGGGGUGUCUUAUAGCCGAGGGUGCAAUGCGGCCUGCCCGGACCGAGGAACGCGYUCGGY
rnacentral:rRNA from 1 species